rnacentral:rRNA from 1 species
CUCGGAGUUUGAUCCUGGCUCAGAUUGAACGCUGGCGGAAUGCUUUACACAUGCAAGUCGAACGGUAGAGGGGGCAACCCCUUGAGAGUGGCGAACGGGUGAGUAAUAUAUCGGAACGUGCCCAGUCGUGGGGGAUAACGUAGUCGAAAUUACGCUAAUACCGCAUACGAUCUAAGGAUGAAAGCGGGGAUCGCAAGACCUCGCGCGAUUGGAGCGGCCGAUAUCAGAUUAGGUAGUUGGU